GCUACAAUGAGUGGUGUUACUUGCUGCCUCCGGUUCCCUGGACAGCUUAACUCUGAUCUUCGAAAGCUUGCAGUUAAUCUUAUUCCAUUUCCUCGCCUGCAUUUCUUCAUGGUUGGGUUUGCACCUUUGACUUCUAGAGGAUCACAACAGUAUCGGGCUUUGACUGUCCCUGAACUAACCCAGCAGAUGUGGGAUGCCAAGAACAUGAUGUGUGC
rnacentral:misc_RNA from 1 species